CUUUGAUGGAGAGUUUGAUCCUGGCUCAGG
rnacentral:rRNA from 1 species